rnacentral:tRNA from 1 species
GGAAGUGCGCAGCUGGCUGGUGCGGCUCCCGGACUUCAAAUCCGGUGUGGGGCGUUAAUACCGUCCCGGGUGGGUUCGAUUCCCAUGCACUUCCGCCA